UACACUGUUACUUAGACUAGUAUACAAACAAAUGCCACCAAUGUCCAUAGGUGAUGUUAUUCAGCUGAAGACAUGGUGGCACAAACAAAGGAGAAUAGAAAGAGGUCAAGCUGGGGGCCAGCAACACAGGAGGCCCUCCUGCACUUUGUUCUUGUUGAUCCCUGAUGCUCUGAUAAGAUAAGCCCACCUGGCCUGCAUCUUAUUGGUCCAAGUGGACCACAUGACCAUGUACCUAGCGACGCAUGGGGGCACCAAGCUCCGCUGUAUGUUAUGGCUGCACUGAUCUCUGCCGGAUCACUCGGGCUGCUUUGUUCCUUUUAUGCAGAGGACUUCUUCGGAUUCAGAAGACUACGUCAUUGCCCAGUGUUUGUUUUGUUUGCUUUUGUCUACUAUUAAUAAAAUGGUUAAUGAG